CAGGAUCCCGAGGAGCUGCUGCCUAUCCGAAGCAUGCAUCAAGUGAAAUAAAAACUCCAAUAGUGAACAUAUCUACUGAAUCAGACAGAGAGCAGAGGAACUUACUGGAUGUCCUGGUGUGAGUGAAGCUAUUAUCAUACAGCCCUCAGGCUCACUUUCAGGAUCCGUUUUGAUCUUCAACAAUCAAGUCUGAGCUCUUUAUAUCAGCUUGUCAGCCAAGAAUCUAUUCAGACUGUGGCAGCUACUGUUUGACUUUGCCAAUUGAUUCAUCAACUUAUUUUCUGAUUGGUUUCCUGACAGCUUCCCACAUUCUCUGACUGAUAGCUCUACCUCCUGCCUUAAGGUCAAACUGUAUGAUGUCUGCUCAAACAAGAAGGCUGUUUAAGAAGCAUUCUGGCUGCUUAAGCUCCUCCUGGAGGCCAAAUGAGAGCUUUUUCCUUAAAGGAGCUGAAGAUGCAGUAAGGAGCACGAG